UCUUUAUUCACUUGUCGCUCCUGAGUGAAAUGUUGUUUGCAAAAUGAAAAUCUAAUCCUGAUCUGAGAUAGCCAGGAUUCAAACCCGGGUCAACUGCAUACGUCGCUGAUGAAGCAGCGGGAGAAACUUGGGGUUAGGUGUCUUGCCCAAGGACACAUCGGACAUGAGCUGGGGAUCAAACCCUCGAUCUUCCGGUUGUGUGUAUAUGUGUGUGUUCAGUUGUAUUUGAUCUAAACACCCAGCAGGACGUCGAGCUCUUUCUGUCAUUUUCUCUCUCUUUGCGUUCGUCUCUCCGUAUAAUUAUGAAUCUGGAGUCAUGGCGCCUCGGGAAAAUUCUCCAAUCUUUCGCUCAAGUGGAAACAUUUUCGACUUGUGUGGAUGCAUCAAGUCAGCUCAGUUUUAUUUAUAAAUCCAUGAAUCAUACAUUCGCCCCCAGGGGGCAACGUACACAAAUCACCAUUGCUGCAGUUUAUUUUAAAUAAAUCAGCUCCGCCCUCGUGCCAGAGAUUACUCACCCGUGCUGCAGAGCCUCGGCUGAAAAAAAAAAAGUCCCCAACAAAUUCUCUUUUGACUCACGUUUGUGUUUGUUUGUUUGUUUCUAACAAACAUCGUGCAUGGCUGUUUGAAGUUUUAGACCCUUCACCGACAGAGCGAUUCAUUGUUGGUUGUUGUGGGAUUUGUUGACAAUAAGCUACAGAAGUUUUAAUUCUUAAAUCAUAAAUUUGAUUUCAGAUGAAUUAAAGUGUGACUGAGCUGCUCUGUUUGUUAGUUUGACAUGUAAAGGAAGUAUUUGAAUGUACUUAAAUCACUCUAGAUAACAAACUAUUUGUCGCUUUGUUACGAUCAUAUGUGGGACAGCUGUUUCUUGUUUAACCUCGUUAUUCAUGGAAGCCAUUUUUAAUUUAAGUAGAGAGCCUUGAGAAGUCAUUACUUCAUAACUUUGUGCUAAUCAGCUACACAAAUCCUGAGCUUACUCUUUAUUAUACGUUCAAUAACGCUUGUGCUAACAUACAGUCUCUAACUUUUUCUCACCACAUCACAUUUAUAAUUUUAAUUUUGGUGCCAUGUUGACAAUUUGCAAAUGUCUGAAGUGAACCUCUGUGUUUCCUUGAGACCAGGGAAGCAAAGAGGCUUCAUUCUGUGAUUAUUGAAGAGUGUAGAUAAUGACUGUUGGUGAUGGCAUGGUAGAAAAUUUCAAAAACACGGCAUCAAAAAAGACGUCCUAUAGGCACCUAAAACAGGGUCAGCUCUUGUUUUUAAAUGACAAAAUUGCAGGUAACUCCUGAACACUGUCUACAUCGUGCAAAUAUGUUGGCAUAUUUCUGAACCUUAAAACAUUGCCAGCCUAUUUGUGCAAUUUAAACAGAGCUCUCGCUUCACUUUUUUUUUUUUUUGUAGCUCUGACAGCUUUUAGUUUAAAAUGACUGAAGAUCGGGGAUUUAUUUCAAGCUUCUGUACUUGUUGAUACCAUCUAUCAUUUGAAAACCAGAGACUGAAUCAUUGUAAAACCUGUGGUGUUAAAAAGCAUCGAGCAUUUUGUCAACCUUAUUAAAGACACAAACACCUGAACAGCAUCCAUAGUGAUUUGAAGAUACCCAAUAAUUUUCUCAAGCUUUGUUAGUUUAUGGAGAUAAACUUAAAAAAAAGAACAUCCACAUGGUCGAGUCUAAGAUUUGUUUGUGUGUCUAUUUGAAGCGCUGCGUAGUGUGUGUGCAGCUCGCUGAGGGAAUCAUGCCGUUUACGUCCCAAAGAUUUGUGUGUGUGUGAGUGUAGCUAUCUGUCGUGCCUUAAUGGAAGUCGUAGUGUUUUUGUCUUUUCUCUCAAGUGCCUGUGUGACUCUCUGACCCCUAAAAAUAAUUGAUUUAAAAAAAAAAAAGCGUCUUCUGAUUUUUAUCAGCACUGAACACUGAUUUAACUCUUAAAUAGCUGUUCUCAAAGUAGAGUCCUUCUAACGGGUUCCCAAGUGGUUUAUUUACACCAUAAUGUCACCCAAAGCGACAACAAUUUUGUCCUGAAGGUGUUAAACUUUUUCUAUAAUUAAACAUCUGAAAGCAGAAAAUGUAUCACCAACUAAAAAUAUCGAACCCGACCCCCUUAUUGGCCGUCAUCAGAAAAGCAGAAAAUAUUUUUCAGAAGCUCGAAGCAGAAAAUGUUAAUGUGUUAAUGAAAUCAUUGAGAUCCUGUCCAGAAAAGUUGGCAGAAAUUAAACUGUGUAUCAGCCGUGAAUAAUCAAGCUCAGUCCGUUAGAUCGAUCUGCAGAUCUCCACUAUGUGUUUGUUUGUGUCUGGUGUUGUGAUGGUAGUGAUUCUCGUCUCUUCUUUUUCGUGAGUUUUCUUCUCUUGCUGCUAAAACUUCACUCUGUGUGAUCUUUACCUUCAACCAUCUCAUCUGUUUGAUCGGCACAUGCACGCCCGUUCUCUCAGCGCUAACUGACCGACUCAAAGAAAUCACGACUGGAAAAAGAUGUCACUCUCACAUUGCAACUGUUUUCCUAACUCCAGUGAUCAAACAAAGCCAGCACACUCUGUCCGUCCUUACACUUUUUCACCAUCAGCAGGAAAAAAAUGCACCGUCACUCCUCCGAUCUUCAUUGUUUCCUUCAGACCUGAGACUGUUCUUCUUCUUGUCUUUUUGUGCAUUUGAACCUCUGUAACAUUCCCCGUGACCAAUUCUUUGUUGUCCUUGAUUCCUCAAACAAAGCUGGUGAUAUUUAAAAAGAAAAAAAUGUGAAAUAAAUCUUUUACUCGUC